GCAGCUGUGUCCACUCAUACUGACAAGAGAAAGAUCAAGCACAUUGCACCCUCCUCUAGUUUUUCCACCAAUUUCUUCGAGUUUAACAGAAAAUCACAUGGUUUCACUACUGUCAGAGAAAGAGGCAACUGUGCAGAAAUACUUUCAUCAGGCUGACGUCUCCAUAUGAAGGCACCGUUGGAUUAAAGAGGAGGAGGCAGAGAAGGUUAAGCCAUGAAGAGAGGAGUGUGUCAGAUCCGCGGCUUCUCAUUUGUCAAUACAGUGAUGUCAACAUAUACCCCUCUGGCUGAUACUCAUGGGAGAAACGUUCAACAGAGAUCCAGACAAGGAGCAGGUGGAGAUUAGCUUGCAGGUUAGUGGUAGAAAGGUAGCAGGUGGGCUGAGAAAGUUAGAAUGAGACUAACCACAGAACCACAGAAGCUGCUGCAUGUCAGGAGCCAGUCAGUCGGCUCUGAUCCCCCACUAUGAGGCUCAGUUCAUGAAGGCUGAGUCAACGCAUCCAACCCUGAAGUCAGGAAUCUACCCCUGGAGGAAUAAAAUCAGGUCAUGGUGGCGGAGGCAGUCGCACAUCUAGUAAGCUAUACGCAAAUAUGUUCCAGAAGACAGCACAGAGCACAAAUAAGGUGUAGACACAGAAAAAAAUCCAAAACAAGGACUGCUCCUGGAGUCUCUGCUCAUAGUUCUGUAGGACCACCACACCCAGAGUCAGACCAACAACCACCCCUCCAAGGUGAGCUACAAAGCUGGGGUUAGGGCACGGAGGAAAGGCCGGAGGGUAGAAGCGGAGCCACACCGCCCGACCAAACUCUACACUCACUGUAAGCAGACAAAGAAAGAGAGAAAAGACAGUAUUAACAAAGUUCCUGACAACAAACUUUACAAUGUAAUAAAAUAAGCUCCUCUAUUAAGCGCAA